rnacentral:tRNA from 1 species
GUCCAGGGGCGGGAAUCGAACCCACAACGUUCCGCUUACCGGGCAGAUGCCAUGUCCACUAGGUUACCCUGGA